rnacentral:lncRNA from 1 species
AAUGAUCACACUCGUGGAACCUGGACAUUUUCUGUAUCAUGUCUGGCCCAAUCAUAAGAGCAUGGAAGGAUAGGCACCCUAUCAAGUAUCAAGUCUAGAAUAUUCAUGAAUACAGCACUCUACAGCGUGACUGUAAAUUUCAAACGUCUACAAUCAUGUGCACUAAGUUCAUCCCAAAGUAACUCUUCAACUAACCAAAUCCAAUAAAUUAUAGACAUACCAGAUACACAAGCUCAAUCUAACCAGAAACAAAUAUGAACAUAGCGCAAACUAGGAAAAGAAAAAGAAAAUUACAAAGACAAAACAACUCUACAACACGUAAUAAGAUUUCAAGUUUCUAACUUUAAAGGAUGCUAAAAAUGAAACAAUCAACAACCAUUCAAGAAAAAAACAGGCUAAUAUCGUAUCUUAUUUCAACCCGGCACCAGAGCUUUCCAGCAAUUAUAAAUCACCAAAAUCAUGAAUCUUGGGCACAAAACAUAAUCAACAAAACACAAAUUUAUGAAAACUUAAAAGCUAAGCAGAGAAAGAGAAGGAAAGAAAGAUAAUUUACUCCUGCUGGGAGCAAAGGGAAAUGUUGGAUUUGCAGAAGCGGGGAGAGUUUCGAUACAUGACGAGGACACCAGAGCAGGAGGGUCAACACGUAAUGAGGGCAACAGAGGUAGAGGCGAGGGAGGAAGAGUGAAAGGGCGUUUUAUUUGAAGUUCACCCAUUGAAUAUGUUGAGAAUAAAAAUCUCAGAAUUUGAGAACUAAGAAUAUGUAUUGCCUGCAACAUGGGAUAAUUAAAGGGGACCCUAUAGAUUAAGGUUCAACACUAUAGAGUUCGUUUCAUGUGAGUGGGGAACAACGUACAAAUUUUUAUGAACCGUGCUAUAGCUACAGCACGGUUCACACCUUUGUUCACAUCUCCCCCACAUGAGGGGGCCUGCACACAUUAAAAAGACCAGAAAAAAAAAAAAAAAAAAAGAGGUGGGGCCCCCUCAUUGUGAGGGGGCAGUGAACCUGCUGUACAGUCCGAGUUAUUCAAGCAGCUUAGUCCAAUUUUUACAUACACAUAGCACACUCCGUCCAACAAACACGACACAAGCCUACAUGUGGGUGAAGGACACCAUUAUGUACAAAUUUUUAUGUACAACAAGAAUUUUCUUUGUUUUACAGGGAGACCCUAUAAAUUUGGAAAAGGAUAAUUAAUUUUUAAAACUACUAUUUUUUUUUACGGCUAGAUCAACAAUAGUUUAUUGUGGAUAUCUUCCAAGAAUUUUAAAAUGCACAAUUUACACCCGUUUGAGCCCCAUUUUUUCUCAUUACAUUAAAUUAAUUUUUUUCUCUCUCCUACUUUUAAUCACACAAUUUUCAAUAAAAUAAUAUUACACGUAAAUCAAAAAAAUUUUAACCACUCAUUUUUCAAAAAAAACAUCAUUCAUCUCAUUAUAAUGCCAAAUAAUGGGGCUCAAACACACUCUUAAACUUAUUAAAAUUUUAAAAAAAAAAAAAAAAAUUCAAAACUCAUCUAACAAUUUAAACUUUUUAAAAUUAUAUUAAUAAUAUUUUAAAAUUAAAAUAAUCAGUAUACCAACUCUAACUUCAUCCAACCCUAAUUAUUUUCCUUUCCCUCCUCUCUACAUCUCUCCCUUCUCUCUCUUCUUUGCUCACCCUUCUCUCUCUUCGAAUGCCGUCGACCCAUUCAAAACUUUGAUGAUCGAUGAUGAUGGAGCUGCUCCAACCGACAUUGCUGGCAUCAAAGGCUGCUGAGAGUUUGUCGCAGUGUCACGACCUUGCUGCUUCAACAUUGGUGACAUCGACGUCGACUAGUGAUGGCGUGGGAAAGGGGUUUCAGGUUUUGGGUGUUAUUUCUUCCUCUUUCAAUCUGCGUAGCCUUGAUUUUGUGGUUGUUUUGAUGUUGGUUGUUGGUAGUUUACUUGUUUUCAAUUUGUAAAUGGUUAUUUUUAGUGCUGGUAGUGGUGAGGUAGUAGUGGUGUUUGUAAAUGGUUAUUUUUAGUGGUGGUAGUGGUGAGGUAGUAGUGGUAUUGGUGGUUUUUUAGUGGUGGUGGUGAAGUUGUUGUUGGUGGGUUGCAAAUAGUGACGAUAGUGACACUGGUCGUGGUGUUUGUGACGGGGGAGGUGGUGGUGCAUUCCUGUUGGUGUGGGUGGACAUUCGUGACCUUGUGACCUAUUAAGCCCCUGUUUGAUUAACAUUAAAUUAAAUUACAUUACAUUCUAUUUUUUUCUCUCCUGUUUUUAACCAUAUAAUCUUCUAUAAAAUAAUAUUACACAUAAAUCGAAAAUUUUACCUUCUUUUUCAACCACUCAUUUUUUAAAAAAUACUAUUCCCCUCAUUACCAUUUUCAGGUAAUGGGGGCCAAACAGGGUGUAAAUAGUUAAUAUGUAAUCAAUAAAUAAUACGUGAACUAUAAAUUAAAUAAUUUAUAACCAACAAAUAAUGUGUAAUCUUAAAAUUUUUUAAUUUGUGACCUAAAAAAAUAUUUUGUGACUUUAAAAUAAGUUGUGAUCAAUAACUUGUGACCAAUUUUUUAAUUUAUGAUCAAUAAAUAAAUUGUUACCUAUAAAAUAAUUUGUGAUCAAAAAAAAUAUUUGUCAUCAAUGACUUAUAGAAUUUUUUAUUUGUGAUCAAAAAAUAAUUUGUGACCAAAUUAUAUAGAAUAUAUUUAAUGAAUUAUUUUAUAAAUAAAAUUUAAUAAUAUCUAAUUUUUGAAAUUUAAAAAAAAAAUUUGAAAUGGAUUCUAGUUAACACCUUGGAUAUGAAAUUUUCCCUAGUUUAUUUGAAGGAAAAUUCCCGAACAUUUUAUAGAGUCUGGAAUUGGCUCUGCUAGCUUUAAAAUUCAGAUUUUGAUUCCACAGCCUAAUCUAACCCACUUCCAAGUGUUGGGCCAUGAAGCCCAUUUCUUUAUUUUGCAAAAGUUAUCCAGCCAUUAGAAAUUAAAUUGUGCCCGUGGAUAAAUCGAUAAAUUGCUUUCAAUUCUCAUUACAAACUUAUCUUGACCCAGUCCAUAGCUAGUCAAGUUUCAUGGCAAGCUUGAAUACCAUACUACCUAUUGGUUUCUAGUCUAAUCAUAAUGCUUAACUUUCUUAAGACUUGUUUGGUAGUGAUUUUGAAAAUUGAUUUUUUGAUCGUAGGAGAUAAAAGUGGGUCCUACCUAUGAGACAAAAAGUAAAAAAAUGAUGACUUGAAUAGUGAAAUAACAGUCAAAAAAUUAAUUUUUUAACAUAAAAAAUCAAUACCAAACAUGCACUUAAUGAAGAAAGUGAAUUUCCAAGAAAAAAAGGUGAAAUAUUCAAAAAUAGUUUAUGCAAUGAAAAAUGCAUCUUAAAUUAAAAAUGAAAAGAGCACCUAAGAAACUAAAAUUACAAAUAUAAUGAAAUUAUAUAUUGAUAUUUGAUUUGAUGUACAUAAUUAACCAACUACAAAAUAACUUCAUGAUUGCAUCUAAAGAGUAUUUCAGAAUUCGUCUUCGCCUUUAUUGAAAAGAAAGAAAUAUAAAGGUUGGAAAUUUCUCUGUUAUGAUGACGUGAUUGCAUCCCAGUUCCUUUAGCUAUGUUCUUGAAAAGCCAAUGGUACAUGUGGUUCAUCUCCUUGUUGCCAUUGACUCCAUCUUUACAGAUCUAAUAUCUUCAUCGUAAUCACAUGGGAUAGAACUCAACUUUAAAACUAGUUUACAAAGAAACGGUGCCCAACUUGCUCAUAAUCUUACGAGAUACGCCCUUCAAGAACGGGAUGAGAGUCUUUGAGUUCUUCCAAUCAGAUAAUAACAUUAUAUCUGUUUAUCAAAAGAUAGGAACCCAAAGAAAUGAAGAUAGGAAGAAGAAAACUACACAGCCCCUUGUUGACAAAAUUCAACUUUUGAUCAGAUCCUUCUUCUGCAAUAGUUUCGAGUUUUGGCGCAUUCGAAGGCUUACGAGGAAAUACGAGAGAGGAUGGAGCAACCUCCUCAAUCCAAUAGUGCAUGUAACCCAUUUGCUUUCCCAUGACUUGGAAUCAAUAAAAUCCUUUGAAGGGAAAAACAGCAGUAUUAUGUCGUGCAGAUGCUGGAGGAAGAUGAUGAGAAGGGAAUGGGAAUGAUUACAUUAACUGCAGUUUAUAUAAUAAAUUGGAGACGUAAAAGAAUGGGAAAAACUUUGGACGAGGUUGAUUUUGAAGAAAUUAAUAAAAUGAUUUAAGAUUGUUUCUAGAGGAAGUUUAGUCAAUAAUCUGACAGAAGCGGGGUUCAUCGAAAGGCUUUUCCGUAGACUUUAAUGAACAAAUUUCAGGAGGCUUAAUCUGUGGUUCUAGAAGAGAUUUGACCACAUAAAAAUUAUUUAUUUUUAAGUUAAAAUUAUAUAGAAAAUGAGGGUUGACUUUAACUUCCAAACCUAAUCAAAACUUGCUUUUUAAGGGAUCAAUCCUAUUAUGCCCCCCUUUGAUCCCAUUAAAUUUAAUUACAUUACAUUACAUUUCAUUUUUCUUUCUCCUUUUUUUAAUCGCACAAUCUUCCAUAAAAUAAUAUUACACGUAAAUCGAAAAUUUUUCCUUCUUUUUCAACCACUCAUUUUUCUAAAAAUACUAUUCCCCCAUUUUCUUUUUCAGGUAAUGGAGGUCAAACGGGGGCUAUGUUUAUAUAUUUAGUGCUUGUUUGUGCUCAAUUAUUUUUGUAUAAUGUAGUAUGAAAUAGUGAUUGAUGUUGAAAUAUGUGGUUAAAAAAGAAAGAAAAGUUUUUUAUUUAUGUGUAAUAUUAUUUUAAUGAAGAAUGUGUGGUUGAAAAUGAGUACUGUAAAAAAAGUAAUGUAGUAAAAUGAGGAAAAAAGGAAGACAAACAAAGCCUUAGUUUCAAUGACCUCAAUCACUCAUUAUUUAAGUAAAACCUAAUCAAAACUUGCUUUGUUAAAAUGUUUUGAUCUGAUUGGAGCCAUGGUGGAUUGGAUAAUUAAAUGGGAAAAUUGCAGCCGAGGUACCAAACCUUUCGUUUAUUAGCAGACUUUGCUCAAAUCUUUAGUUUGUACCACCCACAGUCCCAAACCUUUCAAAAAUAUGCACCGGGGGUCCAAAUGGAUGGAAACCGUCCGUUUGACUGUUAGUUAACCAAUAAAAGUAAACAUUGAUCAAUUUUUGACCAACUUAAAAGGGUAAAAAGGUAAAAGUUACUUAACCUUAUAAUAAAACAAUUAAAAUAAAUAACUAAAAAAAAAUAUUAUUCAUCUUCUUCUUCACCCACCCCAUGCCCACCCGCACGCCACCAUCAACCCAAACCCAAAACAGUUGCCUGAGCCACUACCCAAAACAACCAUCAUUCUUCGGUCACACCACUGCACAAACCACCGCCCAAACCCAAAACAGCCGCCUGAGCCACUACCCAAAACCACCAUCAUUCUUCGGCCACACCACUGCACAAUCCACCACCCAAAACACAUGGCCCAUUAAUUCAACAAUAAGAAAUCAGCGAAUUCGGUCAUUUUCUCAUAACACAGAUUAGAAACAACCACCUCAUAAACGGCAACAAGAUGGGCAUUUUAUUAGAAAUUUGGAAUAUAAUUAGAUCGUUAUUCACUGUUAGUAUUAGGUGAUUGAAAUAGUUGAUAAUUAUGUUUUUGGGACGACAUGGGAAAGAACUAAGUCGUGCGUCGACUGCAAAAAUUGCAGAGGCACUAUGAAGUAAUAUUGAAGGCAGGGACGAGGUUGGUAGCACAGAGGCUGAGCGAGAAAGAAACGGAUAUGUCGAAGGCGGUUGGGAAAGAGAAAGAAAUGGAGAAUGAUGGUGGUUUUUGUAGUGGUUCGGGUGGCUGUUUUUGGUUUGGAUGGGGUGGGGUGGCGCGUGCGUGUGCGUGUGCAUGGGGGUGGAGUGGGUGAAGAAGGAGAUGAAUAGUAUUUUUUUUUUUUAGUUAUUUAUUUUAAUUGUUUUAUUAUAGGGUUAAGUAACUUUUACCUUUUUAAGUUGGUUAAAAUUUGGUCAAUUUUACUUUUAUUGGUCAACUAACGGUCAAACGGGCGGUUUCCAUCCAUUUGGAUCCCCGGUGCAUAUUUUUGAAAGGUUUGGGACUGUGGGUGGUACAAACUAAAGAUUUGAGCAAAAUCUGCUAUAGACGAAAGAUUUGGUACCUCGGUUGCAAUUUUUCCUAAUUAAAUUGAAGGGAUAAUCGCAACAACAAUCCAAAACCUUUUACUUUUUUGAAAACUUUAUAUCAACCUUCACUUUGUACCUACCACGGUUUCAAACCUUUCAUUUUGCUGCACUACAAGGAUAAAUGAAUGGAAUCGCUAUUAGUUGACCUAGAAAAUGAAAAUUUGACUAAAUUAAUAAGGGUAAAAUGAAAACUUUACAUUUUAGAUGGGAUGAGUUUUAUUUUCUUUUAUUUUGAUUUUUCUAAUUUACAUCUUUUAAUUAUUGAAUGUGAAAAAAAAAUGUAAAGUUAUUAUUUUACCCUUUUUAAUUUAGUCAAAUUUUCAUUUUUUAGAUCAACUAACAGUCAAAUGGAUUCCCCAUUUGUUCUUGUGUGUAACAAAAUGAAAGGUUUGGAAUUGCUGCUACAAUUAUCCCUAAAUUAAACUCAUUAAUUCACGUAAAUUCAAAAGACUCGUUUUAAAAUGUUAUUGAAACAUUACUGAACUCUAUGAAACGCUUUUCAUUCUUCGCUCGUUAAAAUUAUAUGCUAACUUGAACGAAAUUUUUAAAUAUUGUUCAAAGCCUUAAAUAUCUUGACAAAAUGCUCUCCAUCCAUCUCUUAUUGGGGGAAUCGGACGACAAUUUGUUCCAUGUGUGAAUUUUAUAUUAAUAUGGACAAUUUCAUCUAAGCCAACAUAAGGAAUUCUUGCAAGUGAUGAAUGGGAGAACAUUUUGACAAAGUUCAAUUACGUUUCAGCAACAUUUUGACGUUUGAUAAGAGUUCCAUGAAGCAGCUCAAAGUUCAAUUAUUUUAAAAACAAUUUACCUACAAAUAUAAAAUAUACUUAAUUAAUGCUGCAUUGAUGUAACAGCCUCAUAUGUCACCGGUCGCUAUUGUCUGAAUUCUUGCAAUGACUCAAAUAAUAAAACACAGGCUUCGUACUUCUACAAUAUCAAUCUAAGUACAUCGAAUAACAGUUAAACGAGUAAAACUUCGCUUGCAUAAUUGCCUGAAAACUCGUUGUUUAAAAGUGGUAGAAAAAGAAGAAACAUAUUUGGAUGCUUGGAGAUAUACUUCUGAAAUGUCUGGUUUACGAGUAUUAGACGACUCAACAAGCCCUUCAUCUGCAAUUUCUUCGGGUAUUGUUUCGAGGGACACUUGACGUUGGAGCCGCGACACAUGAAGUUAGGGAGCUGGUGCAACUGCCGAGAAUGGAGUCCGACUGGCUGAAAUUCCACAGGGUCGAGUCUUCGUAGCUUGAGGGAUUUUGUCUGAAGACAUCGCAAGAACUAAAACAUUGGCUUCCAUUUCUUUGUCCAAUGAAAAGUACUGAAAAAGAAACGGUUGGUCAACCGAUGCACUUGUGCUUCAUAUUUAUAGCAAAUGAAACUCGCAUCAUAUGCUUAAUUAAACUUACAAAUGAAUAAACUUUUACAAUUACCAAGUCAACUGCUAUAAAAAAUUGACAAAUUUUGGUUUAAAAAACAUUGAAAAUAUGACAUGCAUAAAUUUCUUUUAUGAAUUAAAUUUCACGUUUGGAAUUAUUGGAUUCAUAUCUUUCCAUUAUCCAUCCAGAAUUGGUACAGCAUUUUCUUGCGGACCACUGAUAGAUGAACCCAGAAUUUCGCUUUUUCAGCUCAAUCCAUUUAUCAGCCUUUUUGGUUUAAUUAGUUAACCCCGUUGAAACGGCACGCCUGAACUGAAGCAUGACUCUUCAAUUCAAUACACAUCCCAGCAUGUUUUGCUAAGCUUAAAAGUAGCUAGUUCUUGCCUUUUUUUUUCAUUUUUGUUUCGAUAGUAACCUUCCCUUACUAACAAACUAAGCUUAGCCAAAUAUUCUAAGGCUGUCUCCAACGUUACACCAAAAGUUGCACAAUUUUGCAUCAAAUCUUACAUUAAAGUGAAAAUCAACUCUCACUCAUUACAUCAAAAGUUGCACCAAAUUAAUAGUGUUUAAUAAUUUUCUUCAUUUUUUUAAUUCUUAACAAUUUAUUUAUCUCAAAAAUUAUUUAUUUAUUUUAUUACUACAUGAAUUAUUAAAUAAAUAAUUAUGUUUUGUUAACAAAAAUAUUUAAUUCAUUAAUAAAUUUAAAACAUGUCGUACAAUUAAUAGAAAUACAACAACUAAGAAAAUAUUAAAUCAUAAUACUAAAAAGAAUGUAAUACGUUUCGAAUCGUAAUAUUGUGAUAUUACAAAGUCGAAAUAAUAUUCUCAAUUAAUUAUUAUUGAUUAAACUAUUAAAAUUUAUUACAAAUGCACAUCUACACUACCAUAAAAGAGAGAAUGAGGGUUUACAAUUCAUUUUUAUCACACUUGUUUUCACACUUAACCGGUUUGGGAACUGGUUUGGCAGCAAGAAAAAUUUCAUUCAACAAUACAGUAGGACUCUUUCUCCCAAUUCUCACGCUAUUAACUAUCGACCAUAUCUUAUAUAUUUAAAUUUUUAAAAUUAUAUUAAUAAACAAAAUUACUGUAAAAAUAAAUAAAAUAAAAAACAUAUUCACUCCGUGCAUGGAGAAAAAUAUUUACGUCAUACCACAUAAAAUUUCUUGAGUAAAAUGAUGUAUUAAGAAAAUUGUUGUGAAAAAAUAAUAAAUAGUAAUAAAAUAAUUGAUUUUUUUUUUUAAGAAAAACGACUUAUACGCAUUUUUUAACACAUACGUUUAACAUCCGUUUAACUAUUUUCGAUAUUCAUUUAGAUCAUUCGAUAUAUCUAUGAUAUAGUUCUUGAAAUGAGUUUCGAGAGAAUGUAAAAUAUUUAUCGAUUUGACUAUCGUACAAUCGUUAAUGAAUUUUUAUCGAAAAUUUCGAAAUAUGGUUUGAAAAUGUCUAUUUUGACGUCCUGUAACAUUUGCUACGAUUAGCUGUUUCACGCACCGUUAACGACGUGCAAUACUAUGCCGCAAGUACUUCAAAAUGAUAUUAAGAAUGUAAGAUUUUAACUUCGUUUAAUAUCCCGUAAUGAGUCUCAAAAACAUAAGCUAAAAAAUAAUAAUAAUAAUAAUAAUAAUAAUUUGCCGGCAAAUUAAAUUUUUUUUUACUUUUAUUUGUAAUACAUUUUUUAUUAAUAUUUACUUUAAAAAAAUUAAAUAUAUCUAAAUAUUUACUUAAAAAUGUUGAAGUUAAUAUUUUUUACCUAUAAAUAACUUAUACAAUUAUAAUUUUUUUAUUACUUUUAAUUAACUUGAAGUGAUUUGUUUACUUAUAAGUAAUUUUUUACGUUCUAGAUAGUUUAAUCUUUUUAUUAAUAUUUAAUUUUAAAAACUAAAUAUAUAUAAAUAUUUAUACUAAAAAAAAUUUAAGUUCACAUUUUUUUUGGGUAAUUGGCACAAAAUGUCCUUACCUUUCAAGUCUAUUGUGGAAAACGUCCCUACCUUUCAUUUUUUGGCAUUUUUGCCCUCAUUUCAACCUUUCUUUGCGCUGGACGUCCUUCCGUCCAUAUUCCGUCAGUUUUUUCGUUAAUUAAAUACAAAAAUACCUUUUUCUUUCCAUAAACAAGGAUAAAAUUGUCCUCACCCACUUCACCCCUUUUUCCCGCCAUCAACUUAGUCCAUAAGUAACAGUAGCAGCGACAUGAAUCUGAAAAUAUUUUAAAUGAUUAAGUUAAAUAAAGAAAAAAUAUCGUGAACAUAUUAUACUUCACAAUUCCACAACUACUGUUGCUGUCAUCUUGUGUCGCUGAAAAAUUUUAGAAAGACAUAUUAAAUGGGUAGUCAAUUUAUAAUGAGCCAAAAUGGUGAAUGGCUCUUUUUGGCUCAAUGGAGAAGAUGAAUGACUCAUUUUAAAUUGACUCAUUAUAAAUUGACUACCCAUUUAAUAUGUCUUUCUAAAUUUUUCCAGUGACACAAGAUGACAGCAAUAGUAGUUGUGGAAUUGUGAAAUAUAAUGUGUUCAUGAUAUUUUUUCUUUAUUUAACUUAAUCAUUUAAAGUAUUUUCAGAUUCAUAUCGUUGCUACUGUUACUUAUGGACUAAGUUGAUGACGGGAAAAAGGGGUGAAGUGGGUGAGGACAAUUUUACCCUUGUUUAUGGAAAGAAAAAUGUAUUUUUGUAUUUAAUUAACGGAAAAAUUGACGGAAUAUGGACGGAAGGACGUCCAGCGCAAAGAAAUGUUGAAAUGAGGGCAAAAAUGUCAAAAAAUGAAAGGUAGGGACGUUUUCCACAAUAAACUUGAAAGGUAGGGACGUUUUGUGCCAAUUACCCGAAUGUUUAACGGAAAAACUGACGGAAUAUGGACGGAAGGACGUCCAGCGCAAAGAAAGGUUGAAAUGAGCAAAAAUGCCAAAAAAUGAAAGGUAGGGACGUUUUCCACAAUAAACUCGAAAGGUAGGGACGUUUUGUGCCAAUUACCCUUUUUUUUUAUAUAAGUAGCUUUUACAAUUAUAAGAGAAUGGGGGAUUAAUAUUUUUUUUUUUUUUACCUACAAGUAGCUUUUACAAUUAUAAGUUUUUUAUUUUAAAAAAUUUGAAGUGAUUUUUUUACUUAUAAGUAAUUUUUUAUCUUUUAGAUAGUGUAAUCUCUUCUUUUACUUUUAAAUAACUUAACCGAUUUGGAAACUGGUUUGGCAACAAGAAAAAUUCUAUUCAAAAAUACUGUAGGAAUUUUGUUACACGCCAUUGUCCACUGCAAUAUUUCUCCCUUGCUUUGAAUCUGACAUAUCAUGUUCUUUCUCCUAAUUCUCAUACUAUUAACUAUCAACCAUAUCUUAUAUAUUUAACUUUUUAAAAUUAUAUUAAUAAAUAAAAUUAUUGUAAAUAAAAUGUAAAAAAAAAACAUAUUCAUUCCGUGCAUGGAGAAAAAAAUUACGUCAUACAACAUAAUUUUUAUUGAGCAAAAUGAUGUAUUGAGAAAACUGUUACAGAAAAAUAAUAAAUAGUAAAAAAAUAAUUGAUUUUUUAAAAAAGAAAAACGACUUAUACACAUUUUUUAACACAUACGUUUAAUAUUCGUUUAACUAUUUUCGAUAUUCAUUUAGAUCAUUCGAUGUGUCUAUAAUAUAGUUCUUGAAAUGAUCUUCAAGAGAAUGUAAAACAUAUAUCGAUUCAACUAUCGUACAAUCGUCAAUGAAUUUUUACAGUUAGCUUAUUAUCGAAAAUUUCGAAAUAUAGUUUGAAAAUGCCUAUUUUGACGUCUCGUAACAUUUGCUACGAUUAGCCGUUUCACGCACCGUUAACGACGUGCAAUACUAUGCCGCAUAUACUUCAAAAUGAUAUUAAGAAUGUAAUAUUUCGACUUCGUUUGAUAUCCCGUAAUAAGUCUGAAAAUGAACACAAAAACAUAUGUUUAAAAAAAAAACUACUUUAGCAAACCUCCGUGCACAGAGUUUUAUGCGUGCGGAGAGUCCCCGCACCAAUGUGCACAUUUAUUUUUAAUUUUAUUUGUAGUACAUUUUUUUAUUAAUAUUUAAUUUAAAAAAAUUAAAUGUAUCUAAAUAUUUACUUAAAAAUGUUGAAGUUAAUAUUUUUUACCUAUAAGUAACUUUUACAAUUAUAAUUUUUCAUUACUUUUAAAUAAUUUGAAGUGAUUUUAUUACUUAUAAGUAACUUUUUACGUUUUAGAUAGUUUAAUCUUUUUAUUAAUAUUUAAUUUUAAAAACUAAAUAUUUAUACUAAAAAAAUUUUAAGUUCACAUUUUUUUUUAUAUAUAAGUAGCUUUUGCAAUUAUAAGAGAAUGAGGGAUUAAUAUUUUUUUUUUAUUUACCUAAAAGUAGCUUUUACAAUUAUAGGUUUUUUUUAUUUUAAAUAACUUAAAGUGAUUUUUAUACUUAUAAGUAAUUUUUUAUCUUUUAGAUAGUGUAAUCUCCUCUUUUACUUUUAAAUAACUUAACCAGUUUGGGAAUUGGUUUGGCAUCAGGAAAAAUUCUAUUCAAAAAUACUGCAGAAAUUUUGUCACACGCUAUUGUCCACUGCAAUAUUUCUCCCUUACUUUGAAUCUAACAUAUCAUGCUCUUUCCCCUAAAUCUCACGCAAUAAACUAUCGACCAUAUCUUAUAUAUUUAAAUUUUUAAAAUUAUAUUAAUAAACAAAAUUAUUGUAAAUAAAAUGUAAAAAAAAAAAAAAACAUAUUCACUUCGUGCAUGCAGAAAAAAAUUUACGUCAUACCACAUAAUUUUUCUUGAGCAAAAUGAUGUAUUGAGAAAAUUGUUGCGAAAAAAUAAUAAAUAGUAAUAAAAUAAUUGAUUUUUUUUAAGAAAAACGACUUAUACGCAUUUUUUAAAACAUACGUUUAAUAUCCGUUUAACUAUUUUCAAUAUUCAUUUAGAUCAUUCGAUGUGUUUAUGAUAUAGUUCUUGAAAUGAAUUUCGAGAGAAUGUAAAACAUUUAUCAAUUCGACUAUCGUACAAUUGUCAAUAAAUUUUUAAAGUUAGCUUAUUAUCGAAAAUUUUGAAAUAUAGUUUGAAAAUGCAUAUUUUGACGUCCUGUAACAUUUGCUACGAUUAGCCGUUUCACGUACCGUUAACAACGUACAAUACUAUGCCGCGAGUACUUCAAAAUGAUAUUAAGAAUGUAAUAUUUCAACUUCGUUUGGUAUCCCGUAAUGAGUCUGAAAAUGAACACAUAAAUAUAAAUUAAAAAAAAGACUACUUUAGCAAAACUCCGUGCACGAAAGUUAUAACCUCCGUGCACGGAGUUUUAUACGUGCGGGGAGUCCCCGCACCAAUGUGAACUUUUUUUUUUAGUUUUAUUUGUAGUACAUUUUUUAUUAAUAUUUAAUUUUAAAAAAUUAAAUAUAUCCAAAUAGUUACUUAAAAAUGUUGAAGUUAAUAUUUUUUUACCUAUAAGUAACUUUUACAAUUAUAAUUUUUAUUACUUUUAAAUAACUUGAAGUGAUUUUAUUACUUAUAAGUAAUUUUUUACGUUCUACAUAGUUUAAUCUUUUUAUUAAUAUUUAAUUUUAAAAACUAUAUAUAUCUAAAUAUUUAUACUAAAAAAAUUUUAAAUUCACAUUUUUUUUGUAUAAGUAGCUUUUGCAAUUAUAAGAGAAUGAGGGAUUAAUAUAUAUAUAUAUAUAUAUAUAUAUAUAUACAAUUAUAAGUUUUUUUAUUUUAAAUAACUUGAAGUGAUUUUUUUACUUAUAAGUAAUUUUUUAUCUUUUAGAUAGUGUAAUCUCUUCUUUUACUUUUAAAUAACUUGACCGGUUUGGGAAGUGAUUUGGCAACACAUAUGUUUAAUGUCAGUUUAACUAUUUUUGAUAUUCAUUUAGAUCUUUCGAUAUGUCUAUGAUAUAAUUCUUGAAAUGAGUUUUGAGAGAAUGUAAAAAAUUUAUCGAUUCGACCAUCGUACAAUCGUCAAUGAAUUUUUAAAGUUAGCUUAUUAUCGAAAAUUUCAAAAUAUAGUUUGAAAAUGCAUAUUUUAAUGUCCCGUAACAUUUGCUACGAUUAGCCGUUUCACACACUGUUAACGAUGUACAACACUAUGCCGCGAGUACUUUAAAAUGCUAUUAAGAAUGUAAUAUUUCGACUUCGUUUGAUAUUCCGUAAUGAGCCUGAAAAUGAACACAAAAACAUAAAUUUACAAAAAAAAAAAAAAAAACUCAUUUAGCAAACCUCCGUACACAGAGGUUUAUCCACUUUUUUUUUUUUUACUUUACAUUUUCAUUAAUAUUUAAUUUUAAAAAAUUAAAUGCAUCUAAAUAUGCACUUAAUAAAAAGAGGCAAUGAGCUUUUUACUGUUCAUUUUUCUGCCUUCCUUUUCACACUUUAACUAGAUAAUUACUGUUCACUAACCAGUUUCUUUCAAGGCAUAAAAUAUCUCUUCAACAAGUGUUUUAAUGGUCAACUUCUCCCACACGAUUCAGCCAUUUUACCUCCUUCCUUUCCCUUUUCCUUUUCCUACAUGGAGAUAGGUUUUAUAGGGUAGUAAGGGCUUGUCGGAGUCGAGAUAACCUUAAUUUUAUUCCUUUCCUCUCCUUCAUAAAAAAGGUUGUAGCUCCCUUUCAUUCCAUUAGAAUUCCCAUUUGCCGUAACCACAGCAGCAAAGUCUAUGUCAGGUAAGUUUCUAUUUUCUUUUGGUUUUGAGAUCUCGUUCAUUGCUUCUUUUUUGAAGGGAAGCGAGGAUCUUUGGUAAGUUUUUUUAUUCCGUUUGCACAAGCUGUUGAAGCUAUUAAUUUUCAUUUCGAUAUUGUUUUAGGUUCAACAACACACUGUUUGGGAUUCUGAUACGGGAGGAUCUGCUCUACUGAAGUUCAAGGGUUCAAUUUUAGACUCUUCCAGUGUCUCUACGGAAUCAUUGUUCCUCAAUCGAGGUUUCUUGUGAUUCGAUUUGUCAGGUGGUGACGUUUAAUAUUUGUCGAGCAAAGGUUUUUGAGUUAUGUGAUUGAGAUUGACUGGGUUAUUUAUUUCAUUUGUAGCUUAAGGUGUAGUGUUGUAUCAAGUGAUGGCUCAAAAUGUGCAACAAUGCCUGAAGUGAAAAUUUCUUUUGAUUUCUAGUUUGAUAAGGUGUUAAACCUCAAUUUUGUGCACUAUUUAGAUUAAUGUUGAAUUUUUAUUGAAUUGGAUCAAUGCCUUCCUUCUCAUGAUACCAAUCACUUCAAAAGAAGCAAGGAAAAGUUCAAGUGCAUAACAAGAUAUAGACUGUAGUUUCAAUUAAGUCACAUUUAAUUCUCUUUACAGUAACACAAAUACACUUCAUCCCUUUGCUAAUAAUACUGAUCACUUCAAGCAAUAAAUUAUUCAUUUCAUGUGUUCAACAAUAUAUAGCACGUAGUUUUAAUUAAGACAGGAUUAAUUCUCUUUGCACUACAAACACAAAUAUUCUUCAUUCCAUGCUAGUUGUUUGACCAAAGAACUCAUUGUUCUGUUUCCAUCCGUCAGAAUAAUUUUAUACAAGCAACAAUCUCCCGUUCUCCAUAAAUGAUAUCUCAUUUCUCUAAUAUUCCAGUAUUUUAUGUUUCCAGACCACUUCUUAUCGCAGUAGAAUAUCUCCUGACUAUUCAACAUCAAGCCCCAAACUGUCAUAACAGAUCAAUUUGCUUCUUUAAGUGCAAGAUUGGCAAAGCUUGAAUUUUUAUUAAGAUGGUCAAAUAUAGGACCCACAACUUAUAAGCACUUAAAAGCAUUACCAGAAAAACACUAAUAUAUGACACUUGUUCAUAAGUUUUCCAUUACUUUGCUUCCUAUGUCAAGAAACAUUUUUGAAUCCUAAACUAUAUUUCCGCCUAGUCUUUACUAAAAAUAUAUAUUUAAAACAUGAACCACAAGACACUUUUUACUACUUACUAGCUUUCAAGUAGAAUAAACCACCUUAGAGGAUAAAUUAGAUAUCAUCUGUCGACCCUGCACAAAAACUGAAGACGAAAAUACGCAAGAUAGGGUGACUGACCUGCACACUGAUCCACUAACUUUCUCGUACAAAUGGAAAGAAGAAACUGAAGGUAGGAUCGCGGGGCGAGCAAUGGGACCGAGGCAACUAUUUACAAAGUAGAAUUAGCAACUUCUACAUGAAUUUUCAAGUGGAUGAGAUCAAUUAACAAGUCUCAGUCAAGGAAGGCUAAAGAGUCAUGUGACAGGACACUGCCUAUUUGUAUCUGAUAAGCCAACAAAAUAGAGCCAAUUGGCCAAGAUGCUACAACCCAUUGCAGCACACAUGAUCCUUAUACCUUAACCAGGAUCAAAUGUCUAUCACCCAAAAUAUAACUCAAUAAUUUCAUAAGCAAAUUAAUGUAAUUAGCACAAAAACCUCCACCCCUAAGAAAACCCUGUGAAGUGGAAUAGACACAUGGGGGCAUCCCAUAUUCCACCAUCAACCAUACGUCCCACCAAUCAGAGAUUCAGAGAUUGUGCUACAUCAAAUGGGUACACCAUUCCCAAAUGGGGGUUGUUUAACACGUUUAUAAAUAGUGAUGCUUAGUUUAUACGCAAGCAUUCAACCUUAUGCAAAUGAUCACACUCGUGGAACCUGGACAUUUUCUGUAUCAUGUCUGGCCCAAUCAUAAGAGCAUGGAAGGAUAGGCACCCUAUCAAGUAUCAAGUCUAGAAUAUUCAUGAAUACAGCACUCUACAGCGUGACUGUAAAUUUCAAGCGUCUACAAUCAUGUGCACUAAGUUCAUCCCAAAGUAACUCUUCAACUAACCAAAUCCAAUAAAUUAUAGACAUACCAGAUACACAAGCUCAAUCUAACCAGAAACAAAUAUGAACAUAGCGACAUACUAGGAAAAGAAAAAGAAAAUUACAAAGACAAAACAACUCUACAACACGUAAUAAGAUUUCAAGUUUCUAACUUUAAAGGAUGCUAAAAAUGAAACAAUCAACAACUAUUCAAGAAAAAAAGAGGCCAAUAUCAUAUCUUAUUUCAACCCGGCACCAGAGCUUUCCAGCAACUAUAAAUCACCAAAAUCAUGAAUCUUGGGCACAAAACAUAAUCAACAAAACACAAAUUUAUGAAAACUUAAAAGCCAAGCAGAGAAAGAGAAGGAAAGAAAGAUAAUUUACUCCUGCUGGGAUCAAAGGGAAAUGUUGGAUUUGCAGAAGCGGGGAGAGUUUCGAUACAUGACGAGGACACCAGAGCAGGAGGGUCAACACGUAAUGAGGGCGACAGAGGUAGAGGCGAGGGAGGAAGAGUGAAAGGGCGUUUUAUUUGAAGUUCACCCAUUGAAUAUGUUAAGAAUAAAAAUCUCAGAAUUUGAGAACUAAG